rnacentral:rRNA from 1 species
UACGGGGGGGGCAAGCGUUGUUCGGAAUUACUGGGCGUAAAGGGCUCGUAGGCGGCCAACUAAGUCGGAUGUGAAAUCCCCAGGCUUAACCUGGGAACUGCAUCCGAUACUGGAUGGCUUGAAUCCGGGGAGAGGGAUGCAGGAAUUCCAGGUGUAGCGGUGAAAUGCGUAGAUAUCUGGAGGAACACCGGUGGCGAAGGCGGCAUCCUGGACCGAUAUUGACGCUGAUGCGCGAAAGCUAGGGGAGCAAACGGGG